AUGGCAGUGGUCACCCUCAUGGAUGAGAUCUUGCAGCACAAAGAGAUGACCCAGCCACCCUCAGAAUCUGUGGCCCUUGGAAAGACGGUGAGACUCUCUGCCCAUAUGAGCAGUGGCUAUGACCACUAUGGUACAGAGUGGUAUCAACAGAGAGAUGGGCAGGCUCCUCGGCUUCUGCUGUACAGUGACAGCAACAGAGCCAGUGGGAUCCCAGAUCGAUUCUCUGGUUCCAAAUCAGGCAGCGACCGCUAUUUGACCAUCACUGGGGUACAGCCAGAAGAUGAGGCUACAUAUUACUUUGGUGUAGGUGAUGGCGAGUAA